GACGAACGCUGGCGGCGUGCCUAACACAUGCAAGUCGAACGGAACUCGGGACUUCGGUUCUGAGUUUUAGUGGCGAACGGGUGAGUAACGCGUGAGGAACCUGCCCUUUCAGUGGGGGACAACAGUUGGAACGACUGCUAAUACCGCAUAAUGUGUUUUGGGGGCAUCCCCCGAGACACCAAAGCUUUAUGUGCUGAAAGAUGGCCUCGCGUCUGAUUAGAUAGUUGGUGAGGUAACGGCUCACCAAGGCGACGAUCAGUAGCCGGUCUGAGAGGAUGAACGGCCACAUUGGGACUGACAUACGGCCCAGACUCCUACGGGAGGCAGCAGUGGGGAAUAUUGGGCAAUGGGGGAAACCCUGACCCAGCAACGCCGCGUGAAGGAA
rnacentral:rRNA from 1 species